AAGUCGUAACAAGGUUUCCGUAGGUGAACCUGCGGAAGGAUCAUUAUUGAAUAAAUCUGGCGUUGGUUGUAGCUGGCUCUCCGGAGCAUGUGCUCGCCCGUCACCUUUAUCUUUCCACCUGUGCACACACUGUAGUCCUGGAUACCUCUCGCCGCAAGGCGGAUGCAGGGAUUGCCGCGUCCUCCUCGCGAGGUCGGCUCUCUCUGAAUUUCCAGGGCUACGAAAUUUACACACCCCAAACGUAUGUCAUAGAAUGUCAUCACUAGGCUUCGUGCCUAUAAACCUAUACAA
rnacentral:misc_RNA from 1 species